rnacentral:lncRNA from 1 species
UGAGGAAGCUACAAGUGAUACCAGAAGCCAUUCAAGGAGUUCAGUGAAGGCUUUAUUUUGGCUCUCAGUUUCCGUGUUGAAAGAAUUUAUACAGAUCCUGUUGAAAAAACAGGUAUGUUUAAUUCACUCCCUUGGAAACAGAUAAACAUGGUUAAAAGCAACAAUAGAUAGACUUUAAACACAUUUCACAGAAUCACAGACUCACAGAAUGGAUGAGGUUGGAAGGGACUUCCAGAGAUUAUCUAGUCCAACUCCCCUG